rnacentral:lncRNA from 1 species
CCUCUGGCACUAGAACGUUAUUUUAUUCACUUUACUCUCUCAAUGAGAUGUUAGCAUUUCUCACCAUUAAUGUUUCCUUCAGAAAAUGGGCAAGCGCAUGCAUGAUGACUUGAAAAAAAAAAAUGCUAAGUCAUUGCUCCAUUCUCCUAUCCUCGACAGAUACUGAUGUGGAGCUUGCAAGAUGGUCCAACCAUCCCCGAGCUCGAGCCUAGCACCACCUGCUGUACAUCGCAUCAAUCCC